rnacentral:rRNA from 1 species
CAAUAGCGUAUAUUAAAGUUGUUGCAGUUAAAAAGCUCGUAGUUGGAUUUGUGGCGUACGGUGUGUUCCGGGCACUUGUUGCCUGAGUAACCUGCUGUUGCCAUCCUUGGGUGGAACCUGUGUGGCAUUAGGUUGUCGUGCAGGGGAUGCCCAUCAUUUACUGUGAAAAAAUUAGAGUGUUCAAAGCAGGCUUAUGCCGUUGAAUAUAUUAGCAUGGAAUAAUGAGAUAGGACUUUUUUGCUAUUUUGUUGGUUUGCGCAAAGAGGUAAUGAUUAAUAGGGACAGUUGGGGGUAUUCGUAUUCCAUUGUCAGAGGUGAAAUUCUUGGAUUUUUGGAAGACGAACUACUGCGAAAGCAUUUACCAAGGAUGUUUUCACUAA